rnacentral:rRNA from 1 species
UGCGGAAGGAUCAUUAAUGAAUUUUAGGACGUUCUUUUUAGAAGUCCGACCCUUUCAUUUUCUUACACUGUGCACACACUUCUUUUUUACACACACUUUUAACACCUUAGUAUAAGAAUGUAAUAGUCUCUUAAUUGAGCAUAAAUAAAAACAAAACUUUCAGCAACGGAUCUCUUGGCUCUCGCAUCGAUGAAGAACGCAGCGAAUUGCGAUAAGUAAUGUGAAUUGCAGAAUUCAGUGAAUCAUCGAAUCUUUGAACGCACCUUGCACUCUUUGGUAUUCCGAAGAGUAUGUCUGUUUGAGUGUCAUGAAACUCUCAACCCCCCUAUUUUGUAAUGAGAUGGGUGUGGGCUUGGAUUAUGGUUGUCUGUCGGCGUAAUUGCCGGCUCAACUGAAAUACACGAGCAACCCUAUUGAAAUAAACGGUUUGACUUGGCGUAAUAAUUAUUUCGCUAAGGACGCUUUCUUCAAAUAUAAGAGGUGCUUCUAAUUCGCUUCUAAUAGCAUUUAAGCUUUAGACCUCAAAUCAGUCAGGACUACCCGCUGAACUUAAGCAUA